rnacentral:rRNA from 1 species
UACGUAGGGUGCAGGCGUUAAUCGGAAUUACUGGGCGUAAAGCGUGCGCAGGCGGUUCGUUGUGUCGGCGGUGAAAUCCCCGGGCUCAACCUGGGAAUUGCGAUGGAGACUGCAAGGCUGGAGUCUGGCAGAGGGGGGUAGAAUUCCACGUGUAGCAGUGAAAUGCGUAGAGAUGUGGAGGAACACCGAUGGCGAAGGCAGCCCCCUGGGUCAAGACUGACGCUCAUGCACGAAAGCGUGGGGAGCAAACAGG